rnacentral:lncRNA from 10 species
GCUAAUUUUACUGCCUUGAAAUUCCAGUGAUGAUGUCACUCAUCUUACAAGGUGGUUAUGUAAAUUAUCUGAUAUGAUCUAUUUACUCAAUGAUUCAGCAAAUAUUAUUUGUGCUCCAACUACAUGGCAAUCCCCAUGCUAGGCACUGGAAACACAGAAGUUAAUAAAACAGACAAGGACCCUGCCACGUGAAGCUUGCAUUUUAUUGGAAGAAGAAAAAUAUUAAACAAAUAAAUACAAUAAAGACGUAUAUAAUAGCAUAGUAUCAGAUAAUGAUAGUUGAUUUUAAGAAAAUGAAACAGGAUAACAGAAUGGACAGUGAGGGCAGGUAUUUGAUUAGGAUGGUUGAAGAAGACCUCUCUGAGAAGAUAACAUUUGAAUAGAGGUGUGGAUGAUAGAAAGAAGCUGGCCAGGAAAAAGGGAUGGAAGAACAGCUUUCUGGACAGAGAGACCAGCUAGUGACGAGGCUUAAUAGAAAGAGUUUGACAUGGAGCAGGACGGGCAAGGAAAUUAACGAUCCCAGACAGUCAUAGUGAGAGGUGACAGCAUGCUGGCAGUCGUCGCAGCCCUCGCUCGCUCUUGGCGCCUCCUCGGCCUGGGCGCCCACUCUGGCCGCGCCUGAGGAGCCCUUCAGCCCGUCGCUGCACUGUGGGAGCCUCUUCCUGGGAUGGCCGAGGCAGGAGCCAGCUCCCUCAGCCUGAGGGGAAGUGCGGAGGGAGAGGCACGGGCAGGAACCGGGGCUGCGCGUAGCCCUUGCGGGCCAGCUAGAGUUCCGGGUUGGCGUGGGUUUGGCGGGCCCCGCCUCCCUGGGCAAUGAGGAGCUUAGCACCCGGACCAGCAGGGUUUAGCAACCGGGCCAGCAGCUGAGGAGGGUGCGCUGGGUCCCCCAGCAGUGCCAGCCUACCGGCGCUGCGCUCGAUUUCUCGCGGGGCCUUAGGUGCCUCCCCGCGGGGCAGGGCUCCGGACCUGCAGCCCGCCAUGCCUGAGCCUCUUCUCCCCUACCCCCACCCCGCCGUGGGCGCCUGCGCGCCAGAGCCUCCCCAGGAUCGCCGCCCCCUGCUCCAGGGCGACUGGUCCCAUCGACCGCCCAAGGGCUGAGGAGUGCAGGGGCACAGCGCAGGACUGGCGGCAGCUCCAUCUGCCGCCCCAGGUGCGGGAUCCACUGGGUGAAGCUAUCUGGGCUCCUGAGUCUAAUGGGGACUUGGAGAACGUUUAUGUCUAGCUAAGGGAUUGUAAAUACACCAAUCAGCACUCUGCAUCUAGCUCAAGGUUUGUAAACACACCAGUCAGCACCCUGUGUCUAGCUCAGGGUUUGUGGAUGCCCCAAUCCGCACUCUGUAUCUAGCUAAUCUAGUGGGGACUUGGGGAAUCUUUAUGUCUAGCUAAGGGGUUGUGAAUACACCAAUCCGCACUCUGUAUCUAGCUCAAGGUUUGUAAAUGCACCAAUCAGCACUCUGUGUCUAGCUCAGGGUUUGUAAAUACACUAAUCAGCACUCUGUAUCUAGCUAAUCUAGUGGGGACAUGGAGAACUUUUGUGUCUAGCUCAGGGAUUGUAAACGCACCAAUCAGCACCCUGUCAAAACGGACCAAUCAUUUCUCUGUAAAAUAGACCAAUUGGCUCUGUAAAAUGGACCAAUCAGCAGGAUGUGGGUGGGGCCAGAUAACAGAAUAAAAGCAGGCGGCCAGAGCCAGCAGUGCCAACCAGCUGGGGUCCCCUUCUGCCAUGUAGAGGCUUUGUUCUUUCAGUCUUUGCAAUAAAUCUUUCUGCUGCUUGCUCUUUGGGUUCACACUGCCUUUCUGAGCUGUAAGGCAGUGAAGGUCUCAUCACGAAAGUCUACAAUUUCACUCCUGAAGUCAUGGAGACCACGAACCUACAGGGAGGAACGAACAACUCCAGACAGGCCGCCUUAAGAGCUAUAAUUCUCACCGCGAAGGUCUGCAGCUUCACUCCUGAGACAGUGAGACCACAAACCCACUGGGAGGAACCAACAACUCCAGACGGGCCACCUUAAAAGCUGUAACACUCACUGCGAAGGUCCGCAGCUUCACUCCUGAGCCAGUGAGACAACGAACCCACCGGGAGGAACGAACAACUCCAGACGGGCCACCUUAAAAGCUGUAACACUCACCGCCAAGGUCCGCAGCUUCACUCCUGAGCCAGCGAGACCACGAACCAACCAGAAGGAAGAAACUCCGAACACAUCCAAACAUCAGAAGGAACAAACUCCAGACACGCCGCCUUUAAGAAUUGUAACACUUACUGCGAGGGUCCGCGGCUUCAUUCUUGAAGUCAGUGAGAUCAAGUACCCACCAAUUCCGGACACAAUAGUACGUUUUUUUAAAAGUUUAUAUACAAAGAAAUAAAAUUAUUUGUAAAAAAAUAAAAACUUAGAUAUUGAAGUUAUUGUGAAAGAUGACACGUUACUUGUUAUUGUGUAUUUUUACACUAAAAUUGAAUUUAAUUUUUAUUUCUAAUUUCGAUAUUACUGCAGAUCUAGCGCUUAUUUACUACAGAAAACAGACAUUUGAAUUCAAACGUGCUUUCUGAAUUUAAGUAUUUUUACACUAAAAUUGAAUUAAAUUUUUAUUUCUAAUUCCGAUAUUACUACAGAUCUAGCGCUUAUUUACUACAGAAAACAGACAUUUGAAUUCAAACGUGCUUUCUGAAUUUAAGUGUGUUUAUGAGCAGCACAUUUAGAGUCUCAUUGGCAUAUUUAAAAGUAUAGAUUCUUUCCAUCUAGAAUUUAAAAUAAUUCAAUAUUUUUCUAUGUCCCGAAAAUUCCAAACUUUACUCCUUAAAACCCUUGAAAUCCAAAAAAUUACAAGUUGCUGAAAAAGGGGUGUCUUAAAAUAUUAUAGUGUUGCCUAAUUCUUAUUUUUAUCUCUUUUAUGCUAUGGGGUAGAUUUUCUCCUAUGAAUUUGAUCCUUAAGUUAAUCAACCUACUAUAUACAUACAUAUGCACACACAUAUAUACUUACAAUGUAGACAUAUUGUAUGUAUCACCUAGCUGUAAUUAUUCUAUUUCAAUAAUAUUUUUUAGGAAGCAGAACAAAAAGUUAAUCAUUACUCCCAGGUAUUACUUGUUUCUGCAUGCCACUGUUUUCUAAUCUUUGAGAGUGCCUCAAAUUUAAGUAUAUCAUUCUGUCCAGUUUCUGUUUGCAAUAUUAACAAGAAUUCUUUCUCUUUCUACUUAAUGUAUAUAUUUUAAAAAAAAAAAUCCAUGCAGAUUUUGGUUAAAAUGCCAUUUUAGCAAUGGAAGUCCUUCCUUUAUUUUACUCAUAUCGUUCUAAAAAGGUUAGCAAAGUAAUUACUUAAAAGAACUUGCAAACUUUAAGCUUUCUUAAAACUUAAAGCAAACUUUAAUUUUGAGUUCACGGAUUAUAUUGUGAACCACUUAUUUAAAUAAAAGUGUUUAUAUUUUUCCUAAUAGAGUAUCGCUUCUGACACUGAAAAUGUUAAUAAUUGGUACACAGCUUUUAAAGCUUAUUUGAAACAAAACACACUGAUAUAGUUUGCAUGUGUGUGCCUGCCCACAUCUUAUGUCAAAAUGUAAUCCCUGAUGUUGGAGGUGUGGCCUGGUGGGAGGUGAUUGGCUCAUGGAGGUGGUUUCUCAUGAAUGGUUUAGCACCAUCCUCUUGGGUGCCCUCCUCUCAAUAGUGAGUUCUCGAGAGACUUGUUAUUUAAAAGUGUGUGGCACUUCCCCUCUCUCUCUCUUGCUCCUGCUCUGGCCAUGUGAUGUGACUGUUGCCCCUUCGCCUUCCACCAUGAUUGUGUCUUGAGGCAUCCCCAGAAGCUAAGCUGAUGCCAGCAUCGUGUUUUCUGUGCAGCCUGUAGAACGAUGAGCCAAUUAAACCUCUUUUCUUCAUAAAUUACCCAGUCUCAGGUAUUUCUUUACAGCAAUUUGAUAAUAGACUAAUAGAUGCACAAAUGUGUGUAUGAACCAUAGGCAAACACAAGAUUUCCAUGAAGUAAAUAUUUUCAAAUGAACAAUUAUGCCUAGCGUUUUUUAUUUGCACCCAUAUAUUUUAUGUCGUAUAGAAAGUAUGAAAGAUAACACAGAGAUGAAACUGCAAUCACACAGUUAAAAACAUGUAAUUCUAGUCUGAAAAAUUUUCCUCUUGGUCACAGUAUAUUCAAAAAUAAUACCAAAAAGAUUAAAACUAUUUUCAAGAUGGCCCAUUUCCAAGGGAUUUUUUUUUUGAGAAUUUUGGGGUUCUUGUCAAUUGAUCUGAAAUAAUUCUAAAGGCCCUCUAUAUUCCUAUUUCUCCUUUCCCUGUUCCAACAGGGUGCUAUGUACAUAAUUAUGCAGUAUUGCAAUUACCCAUUCUAAUAUCGAUUUGAUGUACUAUAUUGAAAACUUCAUAAGCCUAGAAAUAUAUUUUAAUUGUGCUUUUACUCAGUGGUGUAUUUAUAAUAAAUGGGUUGCUAUAGUAACAUUAUUUGAUAGCUGGAGCAGAUAAUUUUUUAACAACCUCCCAUUUGACCAAAUUAUUUUCAGUAAUAGUGUAACAAAUAUAUUUUAUCUGUAAACUAAAAUUUGUGCUUACCAACCAAAAAUACUACACCUCAAAGUUUGCACUCUACUUUAAGAACAAAUACAAAUUCCAAGUGGCCCCAUAGGAUAAGAAGAUUGUGGCAACUCAAGUUCCGUUUUUCAUCUAUAUAAUAUGCUACCUUUGUUUGCUUAGAAACAGCUGUUUAAAUGAAGGAAUAUUUAUAUAUUAUAAAAGCUGGACAGUAGUUGCAACACUGGUUUCAAAUAUUUAUACUAACAAGAUAUUGGGGUAGGUAGAGUACUUUAUGACUAAUUUUGCUUACAAUUGCCAGUAUAUAGCGAUAAUAAAAAAGAAGACUGACUUUUGGUUGCGUUUAUGAUUGUCUUCAAAUUCUCUAUGAACAACACACCCCCUAAUUGCCUGCACCUGGGACAGACCAUUCCUUACACCCUGACCUUGGCACACCUUGUAUUGCUUUUAUUCCCAGUGUCUAGACUGUGUCUUCUAUAUCAUAUAGGCUAAAAAAUUUUUUUAUGAAUGGGUUAUUAAGAAGUACGCUUAUGCUUGUUAUUUUAUUUUUUCAUAGACUUUUGGGAAAUACUAUUCGGCACAAGAAUAACUAGAAUAUGGCUCUGGUUCUUGAUAUGAUUGUUCUCUGUUACAACUAAAAGCCACAAAACCACGCGCUUUACUUCUCAUAGUUUAAGAAUCAAAAGGGCAUCUAACACCAAGUGAGAAUCACUUCUUACUGUAGUUUGUACAGCAGGCUUGGGCAUCCCCCCAAAUAUAUUUCAAAAUGAAAACAAAUAUGAUACUUAUAUUAUACCAUUAGUAGACUAUCCAAAAUGCUGUGCACAUGGAAUACAUGUGAAUUCCCUUCUGCUUGAUUUAUGAUGCCGGCCACUUGGAAGAGCAAAGAGAGAUAAAGGAGAAGCCCAGGCAAGCAUGCUGGCUAAUGAGAGAUCAAGACCCUGUCAUCCCAGACACUUCUGCUGCCGUGAUCAACAGCCUGCUAACUGCCAGUAUACGAGCUACCACCUGACUCCCCAGCUAGACACAGUGCUAAGUCUUCAUGCCUGGAAUAAUGUCUUGUAGACAUAGAAGACAGAAGACAGUCAAUUUGAGAGUGGAUGGUGAAGGAAUAGGUGGCUGAAUCUUUGCACAUUGUUAGGAUAUCAUCUGGCUCAUUAUUUUCAGUGUCUCUGGACACUGAUAAGCACUUUCUAAGAACGCUGCUGGAAGGGUAGGAGAGGUUUGGAGGGGAUCUCCUCUCAUUACACCAUUCGCCCAUACACAGUACACACAUGUAUUAACUGAUAUCAGAAGAAAGCAGCUGAAGAUCUGCUUCCAGAUGUCUCAGUGGGGAAACACAGUCCCAAUGCAGAAUAAAAACCCCAUUGAGCAUAGGUACAGCCCAAUAAAUGGUAGUUACUUUUCCCCCCAAAGACUUUUUUUUAAAAUCAGUUGUAGGGUCACAAGAAAUGAGCAGGAAGUAUAGAGUUUCCAUAUACCCCUUCCCCUGCCAACCUCCUCCACUACCAACAUCCUCAUUAGAGAGGUACAUUUGUUACAACUGACGAACCUACAUUGACACAUCAUUACCACCCAAAGUCCAUAGUUUACAUUACAGCUCACUCUUAGGGUUGUACAUUCUAUGGGUUUGGACAAAUAUAUGACUACAUGUAUCCACCAUUGCAGUAUCACACAGGAUAGUUUCACUGCCCUAAAAAUCUCCCUUGCUCCACUUUUUUUGCCUUUCCUCCUAACCUCAGGUAACCACUGAUCCUUUUACUAUCUCCACAGUUUUGCCUUUCCCAGAAUGUCAUAUAGUUGGAAUCAUACAGUAUGUAGACAUUUUCAGAUUGGCUUCUUUCAUUUAGCAAUAAUGCAUUGAAGUUUCUUCCUUGUCUUUUCAUGGCUUUAUAAAGUUAUAGAGUUAUAACUCAUUUAUUUUUAGUACUGAAUAACAGCUCCUUGUUUUGAUGUACCACAGUUUAUGUAUCCAUUCCUCUUCUGAAGGACAUCUUGCUUGCUUCCAGCAAUUAUAAAUAAACAUCCAUAUGCAGGUUUUUAUGUGUAUAGUUGCCUUUUUAAAUUUGUUUUUGAAUUAUUUGCUUAAACUCAGAGGCAAAAACAUAUAAUCCCUCACAUUUUGGAGUUAGACAACUUCUGCCCAGUGCUGCCAAUUAUUGGUCAUAUAAUCUCAAGCAAUUUAUUUUUUCUUUCUUGACUUUGCAUGAUCAAGCAUCUGCAUAAGGAAGAAACUAGAACCAUGGUUAAGAAGGUUUUUCUGAAAUUAGAAGAAGUAAUGCUUAAAAAGUAAUGACAGGUGUCAUGUAUGAUCACUGGCUAGAACAGUUAUAAGAAGUUAUCAUGAAUGAUAAAAAUUACCACUGAAAAUAGUUAUCGGUAAUGCUAACAUUAGCAUUGUUAUUAAUUACUAAUAUUAAAAUUAUUAUUUUAAUGCUAAUAGUUGUUACAAGUGAUAAUAGCUAUUAAUUGUUAUAGUUAACAUUAAUGAUAAUAUUUGUAAGUCCUUAAGAUGUACUAGUCAACAUUCUCAGUGCUGUCCAUGUAGUAACUCUUCACUCUUACUGUAAGUGGUUGGUUCUAUGUAUUAUACAGGUGAGGAAAUUAAGACCCAAAGAGUCUAAGUAACUUCUCUAAAGUUCUAAAACUAGUAAUUUGCCAGAGCUGGAAUUUGAAUCUGCCUCUAAAAUCUGUGCUUUUAGUAGAGAAUAUAAUUCAUAAUAAAUAUUAAAUUAGUUU